rnacentral:tRNA from 1 species
GUGUACCGGAAGGUGCGGUUGGAAUAUAUCAAAGUAUAGGGAAGAAGUGUAGCA